CCAAACCAGGGGCUACAACCAUAAGUGUCUACCACGUCUUCCAGCUCCCACGUCUGCAGUCAGCUGGCUUUGUGCUGAGCCUGACUCCAGGCUGCAGAUUUGGUUUGGGUCUGUUCCUCAUAUUUCCUUUUCUUUUGGGAUGGACAAACUAUCCAGGACACAGUCUCAUGGUGACAACAGAAUCACAAGAGGACGAACUGAGCCACACAAGCACAUUUCAAGUUUUUGUUUGCAUCAGAUCCACUAACAUCCCACUGGCCGAGGAAGUCAUAUGGUCAAACCCAACAUCCCUGGGGCAGGAAAACAGUCUCUGCCUCUAGUCAGAAGGAAGAAGAUGUAAAUACAUGAGAGGUAAAAAGUUGAGAGCAAUUCUGCAAUCUACCAUACAGACUUUCCUUUGACUCUACUCUUCAUAGCGCUGCCUCACGGUAUCAGGUAUUUCUCAGUCAAGCAUACGCACGCAUCCAUAGGCUUCCUAAGUUGGUAACAACAAGAUAGAAUAUGGCCUAGGAGCUCUGUUCUUUGGAGACAAGCUUUCGCCUUGAACCUGACUCGCUAAAGCACCAAGAACGUUUGUGUUGUUGAAUGAAGAAUAAUGUUUCGGAUGGGAAAGCUGGGGCAGAGAGGUUUGAAUUGGCCUUGGACACUUCACACCCAAGCGUUUGCUGAUUUGACCUUCUAACCACAGUAUUAGCAAGAUCCAUUUACUCUGGCUAGUUCUGCACAUUCUUCCAGUUUCAUAAUUCAAUCAAAGAUAAUAGUAAAUGGAAUGAGAGGCUGCUGAUGGGAAAGCCAAAUACAGAGGGGAAACAAAAAUAAGAGGAAUCAGGGGCCGGCCCCAUGGCCAAGUGGUUAAGUUCCCGCGAUCCACUUUGGCAGCCUAGAGUUUCACCGGUUCGCAUCCUGGGGGUGAACAUGGCACCGCUCAUCAGGUGGCAUCCCACAUGCCACAACUAGAAGGACCCACAACUAAAAAUGUAUGACUAUGUACCAGGGGACUUUGGGGAGAAAAAGGAAAAAUAAAAUCUUUAAAAAAAAAAAAAAAAGAGGAAUCAAAGUCUGAAAUUUUAUGUAUGUCUUGAAUGAGUUUGGCAGGGAACCAAAUAGAAAAAAUGCCUUCCCCUCUCUAGCUGGCACAUCUCCACAUCACAA
rnacentral:lncRNA from 1 species